AUAAUAUUCAACUGUCCUGAUUACUGUUGCUCAGUCAUCUUUGCAAUGGCGAGCUAUUCGUUUCUCAGAGUCGCUUGCAUCUUUAUUUUUGUCAUCACAUCUGGCUGUGCUGAUGAUGAGUCAUCUUGGAAAUCUUUUCCCAAAGAUUUUUUAUUUGGCACGGCUUCAUCUGCUUAUCAAAUAGAAGGAGGUUGGAAUGAAGACGGUAAGGGUGAGAGUGUUUGGGACACAUGGACACACGAACAUCCAAAUGUUAUACGUGAUAAUAGCAAUGGCGAUGUGGCUUGCGAUUCCUAUCACAAAUAUAAAGAAGACGUGCAAUUAUUAAAAGACAUGGGGGUUCAUUUUUAUCGGUUUUCUCUGAGUUGGCCACGUAUCUUACCAAAUGGUUACGCUAAUGUAAUUAAUCAAGAGGGACUCGAUUAUUAUAAAAAUGUUAUUAAUGAAUUAUUGGCCAAUGAUAUCGAACCAUUUGUUACUUUGUAUCACUGGGAUCACCCAACCAUCUUUGAAAGCAUGGGUGGAUGGACCAAUGAAAAAAUGGUUGAAUGGAUAUCUGAUUACGCAAGAGUCGUUUUCAAAGAACUCGGUCCCAAAGUUAAAUAUUUUAUGACUCUGAAUGAACCGGCUGUUGUUUGUGAUGAAGCGUAUUUUUCUGACACACACGCACCAGGAAAGAAAUUAGGUUUUCCUGGUAAAUAUCUAUGCAUGCACAACAUGUUGAAGGCGCAUGCCAAGAUUUAUCAUAUCUACGACACAGAAUUUCGAAAACAGCAGAAAGGCCAAAUCGGCAUAGUUCCAUCUUGUACAAUGGGAUUUGCCAAAAAUAGUUUUGACACCGCAGCAGAAGAUUUAUUUUUUCAAUUUAAUUGCGGAUGGGUUGCCCAUCCUAUUUUUUCAAAGACUGGUGAUUAUCCAGCAGUUAUGAAAACCCAAAUAGCUGAGAAUAGUAAAAUUGAUGGUUUUCCGAGAUCUAUUUUGCCAGAAUUUUCGCCAGAAUGGGUGGAGUAUAUUAAAGGUACAUCAGACUUCUUUGCAUUGAAUCAUUAUACUUCGAAACUUGUGGAAACAGUGCCGCGACAACAAGGACAACCGUGGUAUGAUUAUUCUGGCGUGAAAGUGACCAUAGAUCCGUCAUGGCCAAAAAGCGCUUCGGAUUGGCUCAGAGUUGUACCUAUUGGGUUUCGAGAGAUUAUCAAGAAGAUUUCAAGCGAAUAUGAUUAUCCAACUAUCUUUAUUACGGAGAAUGGUUACUCUGAUUAUUGCUGUACUUUUGAUUUUUUAAGAGUAUCUUAUUUGCAUUCUUAUAUGAAGGAAAUGUUAAUCGCCAUUAAGGAAAAUGGAUGUAAAGUAAAAGGUUAUGCUGCAUGGAGUCUGGUAGACAAUUUUGAAUGGCAGCGUGGUUACACAGAACGGUUUGGAUUAAUACACGUCGAUUUUACGGAUCCUAAUCGAACGAGAACUCCAAAAUGGUCAAUGUAUUGGUAUAAAAAUGUUAUUCAGAAUGGGAAACUUCUUGAUGAUCCAAUACAAGAGCAUAUAUGCACAACACAAAUCGUAUAAUUUGUUUGAAUCAGAUCUAAAUAAAUUUGUCAUAUAGUAUUAAAGGGACCAAAAAAUUCGGCUGCAGAAACUAUAAGAGAAACUAUUCUGAUUACAGUUAUUUGACGAAAAUUUUUCGUCGACAGUGUUAAUUAUACGUUACAAUAUUUUUAUUUGUCCAUCUCUGACAAAAGAAGCCGCUAUUGUUAAGAUUCAAUAAAAAAUUACUAUGUCUUAAAUCUAAAAUCUAAAUUAUAUAAAAUAGAUUAUGUAUAUGCUAAUGGAGGCUGAAUAUAUAAUAUGUAUAUAGAAACGAUAGAAAUGUCAGAAGCAAUAUUAUUUUUUGUAAUAUACGUGUGGAAUAUUCCGAUCUAUGAUUGGUCAGAUUAUAAAGAGCAUCAGAGCAACCAUAUAGCGAUCACUCCAAUCGAGAAAUAAACGAAAUACAAGUUUUCAAAAAGGA